AAAAUGCAAACAACAGGGGUGUGUCCUAAGCCCUGCCCCUUGCACAGAGUUCUGUGCCUAAGUCCAGGCUGCAGGGAGGCUCCUGUCUCGGCUUAGUGAUCCGCAAAUGAGAACCAGCCACCUGGAGAAGGUGGCUUAGGUGCCAAAUGCAUUUCCUGUGGGAAUGAAUUAGGUGCCUGCUUCACUCCACACAAGAUAGCUGGAGGAGGAGGAGUUGAUGCCCACCUUAACUUUCAGUGUAGUGGUUAGUACACUCCCUUGGGACACUGGAGAUCCAGGUUCAGUUCCCCCACCUCUGCCAGAGAAUAGGGGGCCUCCCUCCACUCAGGAUCUAGCACAAUGCAGUCCUGAUCUAUGACGACAGCUCCCGAGGGCUACGGUAAUA